rnacentral:tRNA from 1 species
GAGGGUAUAGCUCAGUGGUAGAGCAUGUGCUUAACAUGCACAAGGUCCUGGGUUCAAUCCCCAGUACCUCCA